GAGUGCGAUCAUACCAGCACUAAAGCACCGGAUCCCAUUAGAACUUCGAUUUUAAGUGUGCAUGGGCGAGAGUAGUACUAGGAUGGGUGACCCCCUGGGAAGUCCUCGUGUUGCACUAC
rnacentral:rRNA from 15 species